rnacentral:rRNA from 1 species
UGCGUAGGGGGCGAGCGUCGUCCGGAUUUACUGGGCGUAAAGCGCGUGUAGGCGGCCCGUUAAGUGGGGUGUGAAAGCCCGGGGCUCAACCCCGGGACGCCGCUCCAAACUGGCGGGCUUGAGGACGGAAGAGGGGAGUGGAAUUCCUGGUGUAGCGGUGAAAUGCGUAGAGAUCAGGAGGAACACCCGUGGCGAAGGCGGCUCCCUGGUCCGUCCCUGACGCCGAGACGCGAAAGCGCGGGGAGCGAACGGG